GCCGGAGUGGUGAAAAUGGCAGACACGCAUGAUUCAGGGUCAUGUGAUCGCAAGGUCGUAGGGGUUCAAAUCCCCUCUCCGGCACAA
rnacentral:tRNA from 1 species